UACGGAGGGUGCGAGCGUUGUCCGGAAUCACUGGGCGUAAAGGGGGCGUAGGCGGCCUGAUAAGGAGGGGGUGAAAUCCUGCGGCUUAACCGCAGGGCUGCCUUCUAAACUGUCAGGCUUGAGCACAGUAGAGGCAGGUGGAAUUCCCGGUGUAGCGGUGGAAUGCGUAGAGAUCGGGAAGAACAUCAGUGGCGAAGGCGGCCUGCUGGGCUGUUGCUGACGCUGAGGCGCGACAGCGUGGGGAGCAAACAGG
rnacentral:rRNA from 1 species